UAGCUCAGUCAGUAGAGCAUGAGACUCUUAAUCUCAGGGUCAUGGGUUCGUGCCCCAC
rnacentral:tRNA from 1 species